rnacentral:rRNA from 1 species
GGUGACGGGAGAGUAGGAAUAGAGUAGGAGAACGUAAAGAGAAAGAGGAAAAAAAAGGUAACGGUCAGUACCCUCGCCAUCGGGGCUGGAACGAGUAGAGAAAGGAGAGAGAUGAGGAGGGAGGGGAUGGAGGGCUCGAUGUCUCCCGAUAACUCUCGCGCGCCAGUUGUGGGAAGUCUCUCGACGACGUUUUCCCCUUAACGCGUCGGUCCUACGUGAGCAGUGGUAACCAGCGGGUCCACUCGAGCAGCGGUACCGCACGCGCAGGAGCAGGAGCUUACGACGGUGUUGUGAACUCUGACGACGGGAGAAAAAGACCCAUUCACUGCCGCCCGCACCCCACGACGUUCGUCGCUUCGGGUCACAAAAGUCCAUCCGCUGCUGCCCGAUGUUCACCCCGCCGUGGCGGUUGGUGGAUACGCUAAAGCGGCCGCUUCUACGACGAUGGGGCCGCACCGCCUCGACGUUGGCAUCAAGCCGCCUCGAUGUUGGCAUACGACCACCUCAUCGUUGGUCGUUCUGUUUACGGUCUUGGCCGCCGUCGGCACAACACUACCGGUGCUGCCACCAGGUAUUAACGACCUCGGUCGUUUUUUUUAACGACCUUCGCCACUAAAAAAACGAUGCUGGCAUGAUUGCUACUAAGUAUCAAAACGACCUUUGCAAUUCAUGAAAACGACCUUGGGAAAAGAAAAAAAAAACAACGUUCGUAUUAAAGAAGAACAAUAGUGGCAAAACUAAGAACCACCUUGUUUGUAGGUAAUGAAAACAAUGGUACCAGAACCUAAAAACAACCUUGGUCUCAUAAAAAGACGAUGUUGAUAAGAAAUCAAAGUAACCUUGUUUGUGUGAAAAAAACAAACGCUAAAACUGCUACCGCUCGUACAGCCACCACUCACAACUGCCGCUCGCUACCCCCGGCAGCGGUGGCCUCCACGUUAGCGUCCGGUAUCGACAACAUACGCACCUCAGUCGCUGUUCACGCCCUCCGUUGCUCACGCCGCUG